UCUUUCCAACAUCAAUACAUCACAGAGGAUCACCUCCAAGGCCAAGGAUGUGGCAACCAUGACUAUUCAUCAUGAAACCUCUCACCGUGGGAGUGUUACCUGGUCAGCGGCUAUUGAGCCUCAAAGGGAGCAGCGGGGCAGCAAUCGGAAAGGCACAAUUCCCAGCCACAAUUCCCAACUCCCAGCUUCUCAGCAGAGCCAGGGACACAACCCACCAGUACAGCAAGGCCCGUUGCUGCCACGGUGUGCCAUGGCAAGCAGGGUCCAUUUGCCAAGUGAGAACACAAAGCACGGCUGACUGAGCUGCGGUGUGGCAUCCUGGGAGGACAUGAGAUGAAAUUAUUGGGCGCUGCCUUCUCCACUCGCUGCUACCUGACCCCACCAGGUCCAGGCACACGUGGUGGGGAGGAGGCACCAUCAUCCCAUGCUGAGUCCUGGGACAAAAUGCCCAUCCACAUCUGGCCCAGGACAUCCUCCCUGGUCCUGAAAUAGAGGCAGACCCUCCAUGGUUCAGCACCUGCAUGGCACAGAUGAAGCUGAGCUUUC